GUCCACAACCUCUGAGUAGUAACGCACCGGUAAAUAUAAAAUGGCCGGCACACAAUCUAUUCAUGGAUUGAUUUCUUUAAAGUUAUCUAUUUUGCAGACUGUAUAAAUGCAAACAGACUUAUCUACUUAUCUUACUUUAAACGCGUUAGGCAUGUUCAGUACGGUUUACACACUUCGUGAGGUUUACCGAUAGCUUCGUACUUUUGGAUCAUUCUACACUUCAACUUUUGACUAAACAUUAACGUUUUGGGUAAACGAUGGAGGAAACCGGGAAUAAAGAUACUUCUCGGAAAAGAAAGAUAAUAAUGGGGAUGGAUGGGAGUAGAAACGCGGAGGAAGCGUUGACAUGGUAUAAAGACAAUAUUCACGAACCCGCCGACUUUUUGAUAUUGGUGCACACCCCGGAGUUUAAACAUCUUAUCACUAUGCGUAAGCAGAUGUGAAUCUUCGUACAUUGCUUAGUACAACGAUACACGUUGAUAAAAUAGUGUUUAUAUAUGCUUUAUAUGUUAAUUGAGUAAACUAUGAAGUGCUAUAUUGAUCAAAUUAACGAGCAGGAAUUAAAGCUAACAUUGUUUAUGUGUUCAUGCUUUAGAUUUUAUCAUAGUCAAUUAAUGUAUUAAUAAAUAUAAAUAAAAGA